UCCCUGGUGGCUCAGAUGGUAAAGCAUCUGCCUACAAUGCAGGAGACCCAGGUUCGAUCCCUGGGUUGGGAA
rfam:TPA: Bos taurus chromosome 4, whole genome shotgun sequence.